CAGCAGCCGCGGGAAUACGAGGGGGGCAAGCGUUGUUCGGAAUUAUUGGGCGUAAAGGGUGCGUAGGCGGCUUGGUAAGUCUUGUGUGAAAUCUUCGGGCUCAACCCGAAGCCUGCACGAGAAACUGCCGGGCUUGAGUAUGGGAGAGGUGAGUGGAAUUUCCGGUGUAGCGGUGAAAUGCGUAGAUAUCGGAAGGAACACCUGUGGCGAAAGCGGCUCACUGGACCAUUACUGACGCUGAGGAGCGAAAGCGUGGGGAGCGAACAGGAUUAGAUACCCCGGUAGUCCCUGUCUCUUAUAC
rnacentral:rRNA from 1 species